rnacentral:lncRNA from 1 species
CCGGCAGAGUUUCCCUUGUAACUGGCUCAAUACCAAAACAUUUUCACCUGUCAAAACAAGUAUAUAUAUACAACCAACUGCUAGCAUACAUAUAUAUACAUUCCAACAGUUCAAAUCUCAGUCUAGGGCAAAACAUCAGAGCGACUACUAAAUGUACAAAAGAGUGAAUCUGUUUACAAAACAAAAUCCUACAUCAGAAGAAAGGCGCCGAAGAUGGGAAGUGGCCCGGUGGUGGAUUCCUGUGCACGUCUACUGCCUGGGGGUGCAAAACAACAAAAAGGUGAGUGGACCCAAAAACAAAGUUUAAAAAAUACCAUAUGAACAUACUAACCCCACUGUAAAAACUGUUAUACCAACUAGCUUAUUUUCUUUAUUUUUGAAAUCAAUGCAUGUAUAUAACGAUACAUUUGAAAACAGUUCACCGAGGUGCACCCUAUUUCCGUCAAUUCCUUGUAUCCGUCAAUUCCUUGCAUCACCAUGGGUGACGCAUACUCGCAGGUCUCAGUGACACGAGGUCAGUCCGAGCCGCAACUCGCAGGAUUCAGGGAACCGUAGUCCACCUUUAUCCGCAUUACUCGCUCCACACGAGUUCGAGUACCAAGGAACUCGUGGGGCAACUGUCAAGCAUGCUGACUAAACUGAAGGCAACAAAUAUAAUCCGAAGGCAACAUUUAAUAACUGGGUACAAGGUGGUUUAAGAAAAUAUAAAGUUUCUGAAGAAAAUCUUAUGAAUAAUUAACUUUCUGUAACCUUUAAAAUUCUGCUGCCAUUUAUCUGCUAAUAAACAAGAAUAUCUGUUCCUAUAUUCUUUAAAGGAAAUUUCACUCGGCAGCAUGCAACCUAAAAUAUUUCACAGCUGAUAACUGAAACUGAACUGCUUAAAUUCAUUUAUUAAAACAAAGAGUCCACUCACUGAUAGUUUGAGCUCGUUGGACCUCUUGAAGGUCCCUCCUGCGGGUCAACUGGCGCCCAGGUGCCUGAUUCAAUGACCAUAAUAUUCUAUUAAUACAAUAUAGUAUUAAAUGCAAAACCCUAACCCCGGCUCCUAAAAAGACGUGCGUCAAUUUAAAGUGAUUCCUAUGCCCAUAACAGCUUUCCUUCCACGUGGGAUAGUUUCGCGAUAUCUUGGGACUCAAAAAGCGUUAAAGUCCAAAAAUCAAUCCGGAACCCCACGGGUCCAUGACCUCACAAUAUGAUCUGGAUGCCGCUAGAAGGUCCAAUAUAUUUAGGGCACAUGUCCCGAGGGUAUUGGUGUCAAUCGGACGGUCGGAUCGAUCACAAUCUUGUAAUCGCAUAAUUUCUAAACCCUAGUCCUAGGGUUCGCGAUUUCGGAGUAUCCGGGACACCGAUUCACGAUCCGUCGAAUCCUACACGUUUCUAAAAUUAUCUAGAACAACAUAUCUGAAAUUGAUUACGAUCCAACGGCUCAACAGUAUUGAACCCGAUAAUCGCACAAUAUGGAAAAUCCGUUCGAGGCUCAAACGGUAUCCAAAUUGAGAUCCGCGAAUUCCUAUGCGCUCGUGACAACCUAAGGAUCGCAUCAGAACACAGCGUCACUGCACCACCCUAGCCCACGCGCCGCCGCACGCGCCGGCAGCGAUGGGUGUCCAAAGCGAUAACGCAUCGCCGGAAAAUCUCAAAACCAAGGCUCCAAACUCCUAUAAUAGGUAUAACACCAUAUUUGGAACCACUUUUGUUCUUGGACCAACCCCAAAAAUUGACCGGAAGUGGCCGAACACGGAGGCCGAAAGUCGGCCGAAUUUCAAUUUGCAAACUGAGCUAGCUACGGUCAAAAUCGAUGCAAACCUACCCAACCAUCAGCUAGAGCACGGAAAAUAGGUAGAAAUCCAUACCUUACUCGACAAAUUUGGAGUAGAAUUGAAGGAGAACGAACGGUUCGAAGUUUUGACAAAACCGACUCGUUUUUGGACGGAAUCCGGCGACUACAGCGGCGGCUGGCAGCGGAGAGUGGUCGGGGCUUGAAGACGGAACCGAGCUGGUUCUAUUGGCGCCGACGGCAGGGGCAGAGGUGGUCGGUGGCGGGAGUUAUGGUGCUUGGAAGGUGACGACUGAGGAAGGCAACGGGAGAGGGAGAGAGAGAGAGAGAAGCUGAGGUUUAUAAAAAAAAUCUGAUUUUCCUAAUUAUCA